rnacentral:rRNA from 1 species
AGUAACACGUAGGUAAUCUACCUUCGGGUGGGGAAUAACAACCGGAAACGGUUGCUAAUACCGCAUAAUGCAGCGGCACCUAAUGGUGACAGUUGUUAAAGCGGGGGAUCGAAAGAUCUCGCGCCUGAAGAGGAGCCUGCGGCGGAUUAGCUAGUUGGUAGGGUAACGGCCUACCAAGGCGACGAUCCGUAGCCGGCCUGAGAGGGCGGUCGGCCACACUGACACUGACAUACGGGUCAG